GAUGUUGUAGUUCAGUGGUAGAGUACUGUACUGGUCUGACAUGCACAAAGCCCUGGGUUCAAUGCCCAGUACCAUCA
rnacentral:tRNA from 1 species